ACAUAGGUGGUUCAGUAGUAGAAUUCUAGCUUUCCAUACUGGAGAUCGUGGUUCGAAUCCAACCAAUGCG
rnacentral:tRNA from 1 species